GGGGUUAUGGCUCAGUGGUAGAGUGCUUGCCUGGCAUGUGUGAGGCACUGGGUUCGAUUCUCAGAGUUUCA
rnacentral:tRNA from 1 species